UGGGGAAUAUUGCACAAUGGGCGCAAGCCUGAUGCAGCCAUGCCGCGCGUAUGAAGAAGGCCUUCGGGUUGUAAAGUACUUUCAGCGAGGAGGAAGGCGUUGUGGUUAAUAACCGCAGCGAUUGACGUUACUCGCAGAAGAAGCACCGGCCAACUCCGUGCCAGCAGCCGCGGUAAUACGGAGGGUGCAAGCGUUAAUCGGAAUUACUGGGCGUAAAGCGCACGCAGGCGGUCUGUCAAGUCGGAUGUGAAAUCCCCGGGCUCAACCUGGGAACUGCAUCCGAAACUGGCAGGCUAGAGUCUUGUAGAGGGGGGUAGAAUUCCAGGUGUAGCGGUGAAAUGCGUAGAGAUCUGGAGGAAUACCGGUGGCGAAGGCGGCCCCCUGGACAAAGACUGACGCUCAGGUGCGAAAGCGUGGGGAGCAAACA
rnacentral:rRNA from 1 species